UAAUACGGCGCAAGAGCUGAGGGAGGUUGUGGAAGAGACAGGGGACAUCCUGGAUCUUCUAGAGGAGAAACAGGAGCAGCUGCUGGAAGAACUCCAGGAGAAUCCGGAGGAGGAAGACUAUGCCAAAAAGUGACGCUAACUCCUGUAACCUGUAGCCUACCGGACGACCAAAGUUUUCAGUGGCGUCAACAGGACAGGACUGAACGCUAGGUUCAGAUCCUGGAGUAAAAAUCGUUUAAAUCUUCGGUGAUUAUUCAAUAAAGGUUCUUUCUGGAGAAAA